rnacentral:rRNA from 1 species
CCUACGGGGGGCAGCAGUGAGGAAUAUUGGUCAAUGGACGAGAGUCUGAACCAGCCAAGUAGCGUGAAGGAUGACUGCCCUAUGGGUUGUAAACUUCUUUUAUAUGGGAAUAAAAUGUUCCACGUGUGGGAUUUUGUAUGUACCAUAUGAAUAAGGAUCGGCUAACUCCGUGCCAGCAGCCGCGGUAAUACGGAGGAUUCGAGCGUUAUCCGGAUUUAUUGGGUUUAAAGGGAGCGUAGGUGGAUUGUUAAGUCAGUUGUGAAAGUUUGCGGCUCAACCGUAAAAUUGCAGUUGAAACUGGCAGUCUUGAGUACAGUAGAGGUAGGCGGAAUUCGUGGUGUAGCGGUGAAAUGCUUAGAUAUCACGAAGAACUCCGAUUGCGAAGGCAGUUCACUGGACUGCAACUGACACUGAGGCUCGAAAGUGUGGGUAUCAAACAGGAUUAGAUACCCGAGUAGUC